rnacentral:rRNA from 1 species
AUUGAACGCUGGCGGCAUGCCUUACACAUGCAAGUCGAACGGUAACGGGCCUUCGGGUGCCGACGAGUGGCGAACGGGUGAGUAAUGUAUCGGAACGUACCUUUCAGUGGGGGAUAACGUAGCGAAAGUUACGCUAAUACCGCAUAUUCUGUGAGCAGGAAAGCAGGGGAUCGCAAGACCUUGCGCUGAUUGAGCGGCCGAUAUCAGAUUAGCUAGUUGGUGAGGUAAAGGCUCACCAAGGCGACGAUCUGUAGCGGGUCUGAGAGGAUGAUCCGCCACACUGGAACUGAGACACGGUCCAGACUCCUACGGGAGGCAGCAGUGGGGAAUUUUGGACAAUGGGGGCAACCCUGAUCCAGCCAUGCCGCGUGAGUGAAGAAGGCCUUCGGGUUGUAAAGGCUCUUUCGGCCGGGUAAGAAAUCGUAGUGGGUUAAUACCCUAGUGCGGAUGACGGUACCGGCAUAAGAAGCACCGGCUAACUACGUGCCAGCAGCCGCGGUAAGGACG